rnacentral:rRNA from 1 species
AUGGCUCAGAUUGAACGCUGGUGGCGUGCUUAACACAUGCAAGUCGAACGCGAAAGGGACUUCGGUCCUGAGUAAAGUGGCGCACGGGUGAGUAACGCGUGGAUAAUCUGCCCUUAUGAUCGGGAUAACAGUUGGAAACGGCUGCUAAUACCGGAUACGCUCAAAAUGAACUUUUUGAGGAAAGAUGGCCUCUGCUUGCAUGCUAUCACGUAAGGAUGAGUCCGCGUCCCAUUAGCUUGUUGGCGGGGUAACGGCCCACCAAGGCAACGAUGGGUAGCCGAUUUGAGAGGAUGAUCGGCCACACUGGAACUGAAACACGGUCCAGACUCCUACGGGAGGCAGCAGUGGGGAAUAUUGCGCAAUGGGCGAAAGCCUGACGCAGCGACGCCGCGUGAAGGGGAUGAAGGUUUUCGGAUCGUAAACCUCUGUCAGAAGGGAAGAAACUACGUUGUGCUAAUCAGCAGCGUACUGACGGUACCUUCAAAGGAAGCACCGGCUAACUCCGUGCCAGCAGCCGC